UAUUUACAGAAAAACCAGUUAAAAAUUAAGGGUGUGUACAAAAGUAGACAUGAGAGCCAGAAAUAUCAAUGCAGGGAAAGCUGUGGGGCUCACGGGGCAUUGUAUUCCACACUGGACCCAGGGCAAUAUGGUAUGUACCAGGCAGGGAGCAGCACAGCGAAUCUCAGUGCCAAUUUCAGGGGAAACUAAUCACUCCAGGGGAAGUCUUAAUUAUCCAGCCACCCUUCUUCUGCCAUAUGGGUUCAGAGCCAGGUAGCGAG